GACGAUAUGGCCGAGUGGUCUAAGGCGACAGUUUUGAAUGCUCCUUGGCGUACAAUAGCUGUUUCACUCUGUGAGCGUGAGUUCGAACCUCACUGUCGUCG